GGGCAGGUGAGGUUCGUUAGCCGUGGUAGGCAAUUCACCUAGGAGAGCAAACUCCGAACAAUAAACCCGGGCAGGUUGGGCUCGUGAGCCGUCAUAGGUAAUACACCUAGGAGAGCAAACUCCGAACAAUAAACCCGGGCAGGUGGAGGUCGUUAGCGAAAGCAGUUCAUCUAGGAGAGCAAACUCCGAUUACAAAACCGGGCAGGUGGAGGUCGUUAGCGAAAGCAAUUCAUCUAGGAGAGCAAACUCCGAUUACAAACCCGGGCAGGUGGAGGUCGUUAGCGAAAGCAAUUCAUCUAGGAGAGCAAACUCCGAUUACAAACCCGGGCAGGUGGAGGUCGUUAGCGAAAGCAAUUCAUCUAGGAGAGCAAACUCCGAUUACAAACCCGGGCAGGUGGAGGUCGUUAGCGAAAGCAAUUCAUCUAGGAGAGCAAACUCCGAUUACAAACCCGGGCAGGUGGAGGUCGUUAGCGAAAGCAGUUCACCUAGGAGAGCAAACUCCGAUUACAAACCCGGACAGAUGGAGGUCGUUAGCGAAAGCAAUUCAUCUAGGAGAGCAAACUCCGAUUACAAACCCGGGCAGGUGGAGGUCGUUAGCGAAAGCAAUUCAUCUAGGAGAGCAAACUCCGAUUACAAACCCGGACAGGUGGAGGUCGUUAGCGAAAGCAAUUCAUCUAGGAGAGCAAACUCCGAUUACAAACCCGGGCAGGUGGAGGUCGUUAGCGAAAGCAGUUCACCUAGGAGAGCAAACUCCGAUUACAAACCCGGGCAGGUGAGGUUCGUUAGCCGUGGUAGGCAAUUCACCUAGGAGAGCAAACUCCGAACAAUAAACCCGGGCAGGUGGAGCUCGUCAGCCGUGGUGGGCAGUCUGCCUAGGAGAGCAAACUCCGAACAAUAAACCCGGGCAGGUGAAGCUCGUCAGCCGUGGUAGGCAGUCUGCCUAGGAGAGCAAACUCCGAACAAUAAACCGGGGCUUGUGGUGCUCGUUAGAUGUCGUAGACAAUCCACGUGAUGGGAACACCAAAGAAAAGGAAAAUAAAAAGGAACACCAGAAAAAGGAAAAUAUAGUAACAAAACAUCAAGAAAAUAAAAUAAAAAACACAGAUCAUCCACCUUCAGGCCCUAACAUCUCCAAAAUUAUGGGCGAGUCUUUUCUGGGGAGAAAGAGGCUCAUCCAGACCAAAGAACAUCAAAAAGGGAUGAUAUAGAAAGGAACACCAAAAAAAUGGGAAAAAGAGAAAAAAACAUCGCAAAAGAAAAGUAACAACAAUAACAGAACAACGUCAAGAAAAAUAACAUACAAAGAAACAUCAUCCACCAUUCGGCCCCAAACUAACAUCACCAAAAUUAUGGGUGGGUCUUUUCUGGGGAGAAAGAGGCUCAUCCAGACCAAAGAACAUCAAAGAGGGAUGAUAUAGAAAAGAACACCAAAAAAUAGGGGAAAAAAAGAGCAAAAAAACAUCGCAAAAGAAAAGUAACAGCAAUAACAGAACAACAUCAAGAAAAGUAACAUACAAAAGAAACAUCAUCCACCAUUCGGCCCCAAACUAACAUCACCAAAAUUAUGGGUGGGUCUCUUCUGGGAGGAAAGCGGCUCACCCAGACCUAUGAACAUCAACAAGAGGAUGAUAUGAAAUAAAAGAACAUCAAAAAAGAAAAACAACAGCAAGAAAACAAAGAAAAAAAUAAAGAAAAGAAAAGGAAAAAGAAACAAAAAGAAAAAGAAAAACACCAAAAUAAAAUAAAACAAAAACAAAAAAAUAA